GGGCUGUUAGCUCAGUUGGUAGAGCAGCUGACUCUUAAUCAGCGGGUCCAGGGUUCGAAUCCCUGACAGCCCACCA
rnacentral:tRNA from 1 species